rnacentral:rRNA from 1 species
UGGGGAAUUUUGGACAAUGGGGGCAACCCUGAUCCAGCAAUGCCGCGUGUGUGAAGAAGGCCUUCGGGUUGUAAAGCACUUUUGUCCGGAAAGAAAACGCCGUGGUUAAUACCCGUGGCGGAUGACGGUACCGGAAGAAUAAGCACCGGCUAACUACGUGCCAGCAGCCGCGGUAAUACGUAGGUGCAAGCGUUAAUCGGAAUUACUGGGCGUAAGCGUGCGCAGGCGGUCCGCUAAGACAGAUGUGAAAUCCCCGGGCUUAACCUGGGAACUGCAUUUGUGACUGGCGGGCUAGAGUAUGGCAGAGGGGGGUAGAAUUCCACGUGUAGCAGUGAAAUGCGUAGAGAUGUGGAGGAAUACCGAUGGCGAAGGCAGCCCCCUGGGCCAAUACUGACGCUCAUGCACGAAAGCGUGGGGGAGCAAACAGGAUUCAGAUACCCUGGUAGUCCACGCCCUAAACGAUG